AGGACGAACGCUGGCGGCGUGCUUAACAAAUGCAAGUCGAGCGGAAAGGCCCUUCGGGGUACUCGAGCGGCGAACGGGUGAGUAACACGUGAGUAACCUGCCCCUAGCUUCGGGAUAGCUCCGGGAAACCGGAAUUAAUACCGGAUAUGACCACGGCCGACAUCGGCCACGGUGGAAAGAUUCAUCGGCUAGGGAUGGGCUCGCGGCCUAUCAGCUUGUUGGUGGGGUAACAGCCUACCAAGGCGACGACGGGUA
rnacentral:rRNA from 1 species